rnacentral:rRNA from 1 species
GAUGAACGCUGGCGGCGUGCCUAAUACAUGCAAGUCGAGCGAACAGACGAGGAGCUUGCUCCUUCGACGUUAGCGGCGGACGGGUGAGUAACACGUAGGUAACCUACCUAUAAGACUGGGAUAACUUCGGGAAACCGGAGCUAAUACCGGAUAAUAUUUCGAACCGCAUGGUUCGAUAGUGAAAGAUGGCUUUGCUAUCACUUAUAGAUGGACCUGCGCCGUAUUAGCUAGUUGGUAAGGUAACGGCUUACCAAGGCAACGAUACGUAGCCGACCUGAGAGGGUGAUGCGCCACACUGGAACUGAGACACGGUCCUGACUCCUACGGGAGGCAGCAGUAGGGAAUCUUCCGCGAUGGGCGAAAGCCUGACGGAGCAACGCCGCGUGAGUGCUGAAGGGCUUCGGAUCGUAAAACUCUGUUAUUAGGGAAGACCAAACGUGUAAGUAACUGUGCACGUCUUGACGGUACCUAAUCAGAAAGCAACGGCUAACUACGUG